UCCCUGAAGCGUAAUGGAUAGCGCGUUGGGCUUCUAAUUCAAAGAUUGUGGUUUCGAACCCAUUUUGGGAA